GCGGCAAAAGCUCAAAUUUGAAAUCUGGCACUUUCAGUGUCCGAGUUGUAAUUUGAAGAAGGUAUCUUUGGGUCUGGCUCUUGUCUAUGUUUCUUGGAACAGAACGUCACAGAGGGUGAGAAUCCCGUGCGAUGAGAUGUCCCAGACCUAUGUAAAGUUCCUUCGAAGAGUCGAGUUGUUUGGGAAUGCAGCUCUAAGUGGGUGGUAAAUUCCAUCUAAAGCUAAAUAUUGGCGAGAGACCGAUAGCGAACAAGUACAGUGAUGGAAAGAUGAAAAGAACUUUGAAAAGAGAGUGAAAAAGUACGUGAAAUUGUUGAAAGGGAAGGGCUUGAGAUCAGACUUGGUAUUUUGUAUGUUACUCUCUCGGGGGUGGCCUCUACAGUUUACCGGGCCAGCAUCAGUUUGAGCGGUAGGAUAAGUGCAAAGAAAUGUGGCACUGCUUCGGUAGUGUGUUAUAGUCUUUGUCGAUACUGCCAGCUUAGACUGAGGACUGCGGCUUCGGCCUAGGAUGUUGGCAUAAUGAUCUUAAGUCGCCCGUCUUGAAACACGG
rnacentral:rRNA from 1 species